rnacentral:misc_RNA from 1 species
GAAAUGCGAUAAGUAGUGUGAAUUGCAGAAUUCAGUGAAUCAUCGAAUCUUUGAACGCACAUUGCGCCCCUCGGUAUUCCGUGGGGCAUGCCUGUUCGAGCGUCAUCUACACCCUCAAGCUCUGCUUGGUGUUGGGCGUCUGUCCCGCCUCCGCGCGCGGACUCGCCCCAAAUGCAUUGGCAGCGGUUCCUUGCCCCCCUCUUUGCGCAGCACAUUGCCAUUCGAGGCGGCGGCGGCCCGCGUCCAACAAGCUCAACCCCCCCGUCUUUGACCUCGGAUCAGGUAGGGAUACCCGUAGAACUUAAGC